AAUAGUUUUUAGAGUGUGAUGUUUUUUUUUUUGUGUUUAUGUGUUUUUAUUGUUUAAUUUUUAUUUAUGAGUGAGAAUAUGCGGUGUUUGGUUUUUUGUUUUUGCGAUAGUUUAUUGAGAAUGAUGAUUUUUAAUUUUAUUUAUGUUUUUAUAAAGGAUAUGAAUUUAUUAUUUUUUAUGGUUGUAUAGUAUUUUAUGGUGUAUAUGUGUUAUAUUUUUUUAAUUUAGUUUAUUAUUGUUGGAUAUUUGGGUUGGUUUUAAGUUUUUGUUAUUGUGAAUAGUGUUAUAAUAAAUAUAUGUGUGUAUGUGUUUUUAUAGUAGUAUGAUUUAUAAUUUUUUGGGUAUAUAUUUAGUAAUGGGAUGGUUGGGUUAAAUGGUAUUUUUAGUUUUAGAUUUUUGAGGAAUCGUUAUAUUGAUUUUUAUAAUGGUUGAAUUAGUUUAUAGUUUUAUUAAUAGUGUAAAAGUGUUUUUAUUUUUUUAUAUUUUUUUUAGUAUUUGUUGUUUUUUGAUUUUUUAAUGAUUGUUAUUUUAAUUGGUGUGAGAUGGUAUUUUAUUGUGGUUUUGAUUUGUAUUUUUUUGAUGGUUAGUGAUGAUGAGUAUUUUUUUAUGUGUUUUUUGGUUGUAUAAAUGUUUUUUUUUGAGAAGUGUUUGUUUAUAUUUUUUGUUUAUUUUUUGAUGGGGUUGUUUGUUUUUUUUUUGUAAAUUUGUUUAAGUUUUUUGUAGAUUUUGGAUAUUAGUUUUUUGUUAGAUGAGUAGGUUGUAAAAAUUUUUUUUUAUUUUGUAGGUUGUUUGUUUAUUUUGAUGGUAGUUUUUUUUGUUGUGUAGAAGUUUUUUAGUUUAAUUAGAUUUUAUUUGUUAAUUUUGGUUUUUGUUGUUAUUGUUUUUGGUGUUUUAGAUAUGAAGUUUUUGUUUAUGUUUAUGUUUUGAAUGGUAUUGUUUAGGUUUUUUUUUAGGGUUUUUAUGGUUUUAGGUUUAAUAUUUAAGUUUUUAAUUUAUUUU
rnacentral:misc_RNA from 1 species